AAAUAGAAAGUGCUAUUUUGACACCAAUUUCGGUGCUAAUUUAACACCACCAAAUCUGACAUUACGCUAAAAGUGCCAAUAUGACACCUUAUAAUUUCAGCACCUUUGCAAGGUGCUGAAAUAGCACCUAUUUCGCAGACGGAAAGUGCUAAAAUAACGCCAGAUUGAGAGUUAAAGUAUGGGGUGUCAAAAUAACACUAAAUAGCAAUAGAGAAUUUUCGACUUUAUUACAAAGUCAUCUUCAGACAGAAUGGAUAGGGAAAGAGCGGUUAUUUAAGUUAUUGGAAAAUAAAUCUGUAUUUUCGAAUCAAUGUUUUAGAACAAGAAAUUCCUGUGCGUUUUCGCACAACUAUUCAUCUGAGUGAUCUGACGACAUGGAAAUUCGGCUUGUUCCUAUGAUACGAAAAAACCCAAUAGAGACGAAUACUAGACAAAUGGUACAUCGAUAGUGAUGCAUUGUCCUUUUCAUUUCAUCAAACUAUGUUAUUCCGUGCUAUAUUUUCGGACUGCUUAUGUAUUGAUUGCUACAAAGUAUUUAUUUCGCAAUCGCCUGAUAUGUAUGUCCAUAUAAGGAACAAAAUAUAACACGUGAUCAGCGCCUGUAUGCAAAUUUUGAGCGCGUCGUUUGAAAACUCUUUUGAAUCGUAUUUCAUACUGCAGUGUUGAAGACGUUUUCAGCGUAUUUUCUUAACUAUUUUGGUACUUCUAAAUAUGCUGAACACCAACGGACUCACAUAAGGAAAUAUCAAGACAAUUGGCUAUGAUAUUAUCUCAGAAAUAUCUUGAGAAGCCAAAUGAAUUCUACUUUUAAUACUGCGAUGAUCUCUUUAGCAAUCUGGGUCAAAGAAAAUAUCAUUGCAAUAAUAGUUUUCACCAAGAUUGAAUGAAGGCCUCAAAUGUGGCAAAUUAAGGGGAAACUGUAAUUCUAAUGAUAUGACAAGGGUAUGAAGGGAUAUUUACUGUCAACAAUGAAAGUGUAUACAAUUAAUGUAUCCAACCAUGGAAGAAAAACAAAAUAUUUCAUCUAUGAUAAUUUAGAAAUAUCCCUUCCUUGCUGACUCAAUUGUGGUUGUGGAACAGGUUCAUGGACCAUAACAAGGCCAUAGAUUGAAACAAUUUUAGAAGAAUAUCCUGCACUACAGCUCAUUACAGAGAUCAGGACCCAAGGCUAAUUCGUUCAGAAGACCUUUCAGAUGUUCAAACUUUCAUGAUUGCGGUGGAGGGGCAAAUGUUAACUUAUCAAAGAACAGACUCAACUUCAUUUUAUCUACUAAACAUGGAGUACAUUGCUGGUGAGGCAAAUGUGUGUGCAUUUUUGGAAACUGCUCUCGUCGGGAAGCCUUAGGACAAAAACUUUUGAAGGACUUUAAGUACCGUAAAAUUUUAAACAUUCU